UACGAGGGGUCCAAGCGUUGUUCGGAAUCACUGGGCGUAAAGCGGGUGUAGGUGGCCAAGCAAGUUGGAUGUGAAAGCCCCGGGCUCAACCCGGGAAGUGCAUCCAAAACUACAUGGCUUGAGUAAGGGAGAGAAAGGUAGAAUUCCAGGUGUAGUGGUGAAAUACGUAGAUAUCUGGAGGAACACCGGUGGCGAAGGCGGCCUUUUGGCCCAUUACUGACACUCAGACCCGAAAGCGUGGGUAGCAAACAGG
rnacentral:rRNA from 1 species